rnacentral:rRNA from 1 species
GACGAACGCUGGCGGCGUGCUUAACACAUGCAAGUCGAACGGAAAGGCCCUGCUUUUGUGGGGUGCUCGAGUGGCGAACGGGUGAGUAACACGUGAGUAACCUGCCCUUGACUUUGGGAUAACUUCAGGAAACUUGGGCUAAUACCGGAUAGGAGCUCCUGCUUCAUGGUGGGGGUUGGAAAGUUUCGGCGGUUGGGGAGGGACUCGCGGCUUAUCAGCUAGUUGGUGGGGUAGUGUCUUACCAAGGCGAUGACGGGUAGCCGGUGUGAGAGGAUGAUCGGCCACACGUGGACUGAGACACGGCCCAGACGCCGACGGGAUGAAGCAGUGGGGAAAAGUGGACAAUGGGCGAAAGCCGGAUCCAGCAAUGCCGCGUGAGGGAUGAAGGCAUUAGGGGGGAAAAGCCCUUGUACCAGGGAGUAUAAUGACAGCACCGGGAGAAGAAGCGCCGGCUAGCUCCGGG